UCAUGCUGCUCAAGCUUGGCCCCCCAGCUAAACUGUAAGCUCCUAGGGGAAGGGACCCCAUGUUAGCUUUCUCCUGGGCUCCUGGUCAGUUCCACGCUCCUGCAGCCUGUGUGUGUGGACGCUGGGGCAUCCCGUCCCGUAUGACCCCACAGUGGCUGCCUGUCCAUUGAUUUGUUGUCCUGGUACCUGGGUUCACAGGGUAGUAGAUGGCAUUGAAGACGGCUGUGGCUCGGACCAGCCCAAGUUCUCUUUCCGCGUGGGCCAGUCUGGCCCGGAAUGUAGCAGCAGCCCCUCCCCUGGACCAGAGAGCGGCCUGCUCACUGUUCCCCAUGGGCCCAGCGAGGCAAGGAACACAGACACACUGGACAAGCUUCGGCAGGCGGUGACAGAGCUGUCAGAGCAGGUGCUGCAGAUGCGGGAAGGACUGCAGUCACUUCGCCAGGCUGUGCAGCUUGUCCUGGCGCCCCACAGGGAGGGUCCGUGCCCUCGGGCAUCGGGAGAGGGGCCGUGCCCAGCCAGCACCUCCGGGCUUCUGCAGCCUCUGUGUGUGGACACUGGGGCAUCCUCCUACUGCCUGCAGCCCCCAGCUGGCUCUGUCUUGAGUGGGACUUGGCCCCACCCUCGUCCGGGGCCUCCUCCCCUCAUGGCACCCUGGCCCUGGGGUCC
rnacentral:lncRNA from 10 species